UCUCAGCUACCCCUUUAAGAGCAAUAACUUAUUUUUCUCAAAACUACGGGAUCCGGUCUAGCAAUGGACACAGCGUGCAUGCGUUGCAUGCGUUGCCCCCAGGACAGCCACACGAGCGGCAGCUGUUGACGCAUGUUGGAGCCAUACUCUCAAUGGACGAGGGGCAGAGAGGGGAAAGGAGCCGAGUCAGUUUCCAGGAACGAUAGUUUAUUACACGUGCUUUGUAAUUUAAACUUUAGCCAUCGAGUCUAUACGGAAAUCCAUCCACUGGAGCGACAUCCUAAAUGUAAGGGCAAUAUGCCUCUAAACAUCCAGCGCUAUUGUGGUACAACGGGCACAGGUAACCAGUGAGCAGGAAUAGGGUCUGAAUUUCUAACGUAAGUAUGACUUUCGCCUUUACACCUGUUUAACGUGCGCGCUCAUGGCAUUUGAACACGUCGUAGUUAAAUUGGACAGGAGACAUGCUCGGACUACAUGCCAUUUUUUUUUACGAAAAAUGAAAUGCCUCAUUGUACUGGGGGUGGCAAAUCUAAAUCUAUCGUGGCUCACAUGUCAAGCCGCUGAAUCUGUCUAUUUUGUUUGAGUUCUAAAAUAUGUUGGUUUGGAUUCAGACGUGAAUGCACUAAUACUCAUGUUACGCACAUCUGACGACGCACUCUCAUGGAAUAAUACCUAAUUUAUGUAGGCUAUGGGCUUCAAUUUAAGGGAAAUGUAAUGCUGGACUAGGACGUAGCCUGUAUGUAUACAACAAUAAUAUGGCUUUAAUAGCAUAGUAUUUUGGGGUAUCACUGAAAUAUUCAUUGUUAGUCGAAUCAUGCCAGUCAUAUAAAAUUGUAAAACAUAAUCAGUAUUAAAUGUGUACUUCUAUCAUAUAGUUCCGUAGGUUAAUUAUUAUUAUUUUACAUCUUAUUCUUCUUAUAUGUAAUAUUAGUUAUAUAAUAGAAGUAUGUAGGCAUAUGUGAUACUAUUGGCAAUUAGUUUUCAUAGUAACAGUAGGCUUGAAAUUAUCAUUAUUAAUAUGGUUGUUGUUAUUAUUAUUGUUGUUGUUGUUAUCUAGGCUACUGUAAGUUGCCCAUGCAUACUAUUUAAUGUAUCCAACACCAAAGACACUUUUUCUAGACAUAGGUUUUUUAUUAUCAUUAUUAUGAAUCAUAAUAAUAAUAUAAUUAUUAGGCCUAUUAUUUUGUAGCCUAUUUUGAUAUGACUGAUAUCUGACUGUUUUUUAAGAUAUGUUCCUAGAGUGUGUAGUAGUGUAAUGAGGUUUUUAGCCGAUGGGAUUCGACAUAGUACGGUGGUAGGCCCAUAGCCUACAAUAUGGCCAUUGAUCGUCGUCUCUUUUCCGAUCUGGCAACUGGGAGUGAAGACGCCUGCGGAUGUCCAUUACGCGACUUUGGUGACCCGCUCAGACUGACUAUAAACUCCAGUGGGACACUGGGAGGAAUCAGCCUUGAGGCAACUCUGAUGCAAAACAAUUAGCACUUUUAAUCAGAAUACUUCCAAAAAUAUGUCACAUUAUUAGCUGUACUAGCCUGUAAUGUUAUCAUUUGAUUGUACAUGGUGUAAAAAAAACAACUAAAACGAGCAUAUAAUAAUAACAAUACUUAUUAUAUUAAUAACCAUGUUAGUGAUACUAAGCUACAACAAUAGGGCCUACAAACAAUACCACUAGACCACUACAAUAAUAAUAAUGUACAUUAUUAAUAUUAUUAUUAUUAUUAUUGGCAUUGUUAUUAUUGUUAUCAGGUCAUAUAGCCUACAGACUAUUAUUAUUAUAAAUAAUAAUGAACCUGUUAGCUUGACAUAUUUAGCAACUCAUGUCAUGUGUAACUAUGUUUAGUCAGUUAAGAGUAAUUCACCUUUCCAUUCAAUAGUUUAACUUUAUCAUGCAAGUGAAAAAGAGGAGUCAAGGCAUCCACUACACAAUCCUUUAUAGAAUAAAAUCAAGUACAAAUAAAUUGAUUUAAUGAAUAAAUAAAUAAAUAUAAAAUAACACUAUUCGGUUAUAGGUCUGUUAAGCGUCUGCGCAGCGAGACUUUGACACCAACAAUCGCUAACAGGUGGGUCUUGUAGAUGUCAGUUUUUGUUGUUAUUUGGCCGUAUUGCUUUGAAUGAAAGCAUGAUCAUAACAUGGAGUCGAAAUCGAUAUAUUGAUUACAAUCCCUACAUCACAUGGAGAGAGAAAAAAGAACGGGCAGGAGUUUCAAGAAUGUUUUCACCAAUUCUGCAAAACAAUCUAAACAUGCAUCGGAUUUUUCGCACACAUAGGGCAGGACAAAUGAUUUCACACGGUGCAACACCUUUUUAAAGAGCAAUUAACUGUGAUUAUGCUUGUAAAGAGAAGUGUUGCUCCUCAACACUCGCUCAUUGGGGAAUAGUUUUCUGCGUCAUUUAAACGUCUGCCUUUUACGAGCUCGUGGAAACGUGACGGCUGUGUAACCCCGCAUUGUGGAGUAUUUUCUUUCCAGAUUGUUGCCAUUUUCCUGUGGUUUUAACCCAGGAAGGGAGGAAUGCUGGCCCAGUACCCGGAAGAGAGGUGUAGGGUACAGGCCUACUGUUACUCGGCCACCUAUAUAAUGUGUACAUAUAUAGGCCUAUACAUAUUUAUUUAUUUUGGUAGGCUACUUCAUUUAAUUUAAUGUAAACGAGAUUAAAUAAAUGCAGCAACUGAACACUC